rnacentral:tRNA from 1 species
UGGCUUGGAGGCUAAUAGCCUAUUUUUUGAGUGCAAAUCAAGUCUUUUUCUUAAAGUACCAGGCC